rnacentral:rRNA from 1 species
CCUGGCUCAGGAUGAACGCUAGCGACAGGCUUAACACAUGCAAGUCGAGGGGCAUCAUGAGGUAGCAAUACCUUGAUGGCGACCGGCGCACGGGUGAGUAACGCGUAUGCAACCUGCCCGAUACCGGGGUAUAGCCCAUGGAAACGUGGAUUAACACCCCAUAGUACUUUUAUCCUGCAUGGGAUGUGAGUUAAAUGUUCAAGGUAUCGGAUGGGCAUGCGUCCUAUUAGUUAGUUGGCGGGGUAACAGCCCACCAAGACGACGAUAGGUAGGGGUUCUGAGAGGAAGGUCCCCCACAUUGGAACUGAGACACGGUCCAAACUCCUACGGGAGGCAGCAGUGAGGAAUAUUGGUCAAUGGACGUAAGUCUGAACCAGCCAAGUCGCGUGAGGGAAGACUGCCCUAUGGGUUGUAAACCUCUUUUAUAAGGGAAGAAUAAGUUCUACGUGUAGAAUGAUGCCUGUACCUUAUGAAUAAGCAUCGGCUAACUCCGUGCCAGCAGCCGCGGUAAUACGGAGGAUGCGAGCGUUAUCCGGAUUUAUUGGGUUUAAAGGGUGCGUAGGCGGUUUAUUAAGUUAGUGGUUAAAUAUUUGAGCUAAACUCAAUUGUGCCAUUAAUACUGGUAAACUGGAGUACAGACGAGGUAGGCGGAAUAAGUUAAGUAGCGGUGAAAUGCAUAGAUAUAACUUAGAACUCCGAUAGCGAAGGCAGCUUACCAGACUGUAACUGACGCUGAAGCACGAGAGCGUGGGUAGCGAACAGGAUUAGAUACCCUGGUAGUCCACGCCGUAAACGAUGCUCACUGGUUCUGUGCGAUAUAUUGUACGGGAUUAAGCGAAAGUAUUAAGUGAGCCACCUGGGGAGUACGUCGGCAACGAUGAAACUCAAAGGAAUUGACGGGGGCCCGCACAAGCGGAGGAACAUGUGGUUUAAUUCGAUGAUACGCGAGGAACCUUACCUGGGUUUAAAUGGGAAAUGUCGUAUUUGGAAACAGAUAUUCUCUGGAGCGUUUUUCAAGGUGCUGCAUGGUUGUCGUCAGCUCGUGCCGUGAGGUGUCGGGUUAAGUCCCAUAACGAGCGCAACCCUUACCGUUAGUUGCUAGCAUGUAAUGAUGAGCACUCUAACGGGACUGCCACCGUAAGGUGAGAGGAAGGCGGGGAUGACGUCAAAUCAGCACGGCCCUUACACCCAGGGCUACACACGUGUUACAAUGGCCGGUACAGAGGGCCGCUACCAGGUGACUGGAUGCCAAUCUCAAAAGCCGGUCGUAGUUCGGAUUGGAGUCUGUAACCCGACUCCAUGAAGUUGGAUUCGCUAGUAAUCGCGCAUCAGCCAUGGCGCGGUGAAUACGUUCCCGGGCCUUGUACACACCGCC